GAUUAUGGCUCAGGAUGAACGCUGGCGGCGUGCCUAACACAUGCAAGUCGAGCGAUCUCUCGGAGAAGAGCGGCGGACGGGUGAGUAACGCGUGGGUAACCUGCCUCAUACACAUGGAUAACAUACCGAAAGGUAUGCUAAUACAGGAUAAUAUAAGAGAUUCACAUGGAUUUCUUAUCAAAAGCUCCGGCGGUAUGAGAUGGACCCGCGUCUGAUUAGCUAGUUGGUAAGGUAACGGCUUACCAAGGCGACGAUCAGUAGCCGACCUGAGAGGGUGAUCGGCCACAUUGGAACUGAGACACGGUCCAAACUCCUACGGGAGGCAGCAGUGGGGAAUAUUGCACAAUGGGCGAAAGCCUGGUGCAAGCAACGCCGCGUGAGUGAUGAAGGCCUUCGGGUACGUAAAACUCUGUCCUCAAGGAAGACAAUGACGGUACUUGAGGAGGAACGCCCCGGCUAACUACGUGCCAGCAGCAGC
rnacentral:rRNA from 1 species